rnacentral:rRNA from 1 species
AUUGAACGCUGGCGGCAGGCCUAACACAUGCAAGUCGAGCGAGCGGCGGACGGGUGAGUAAUGUAUGGGGACUGCCCGAUAGAGGGGGAUAACUACUGGAAACGGUAGCUAAUACCGCAUACUAUCGGAUAACCCAUAUGGGAUAAGCUAGUAGGUGAGGUAAUGGCUCACCUAGGCGACGAUCCCUAGCUGGUCUGAGAGGAUGAUCAGCCACAGUGGGACUGGACAACGGCCCGGACUCCUACGGAGGAAGCAGUGGGGAAUAUUGAACAGUGGGCGCAGGCCUGAUGCAGCCAGGCCGCGUGUAUGAAGAAGGCGCUAGGGUUGUAAAGUACUUUGAGUCGGGAGGCGUUACCGACAGAGGAAGCACCGGCUAACUCCGUGACAGCCGCCGCGGUAAGAC